UCGGGAAUUUUGGGCAAUGGGCGAAAGCCUGACCCAGCAACGCCGCGUGAAGGAUGAAAUCCUUCGGGAUGUAAACUUCGCAAGAACGGGAAGAAUAAGCCGGUGUGAACACCACCGGCGAUGACGGUACUGUUUGUAAGCUCCGGCUAACUCCGUGCCAGCAGCCGCGGUAAUACGGGGGGAGCAAGCGUUGUUCGGAUUUACUGGGCGUAAAGGGCGCGUAGGCGGCCACCGCAAGUCACUUGUGAAAUCUCCGGGCUUAACCCGGAAAGGUCAACUGAUACUGCGGGGCUAGAGUGCAGAAGGGGCAACUGGAAUUCUCGGUGUAGCGGUGAAAUGCGUAGAUAUCGAGAGGAACACCUGCGGCGAAGGCGGGUUGCUGGGCUGACACUGACGCUGAGGCGCGAAAGCUAGGGGAGCGAACGG
rnacentral:rRNA from 1 species